UUCAUCCACUGAUUGUAUACAUAUACACGUCCAUAUCUGUAUUUUCCCAUAUAUUUGGCCUUUCUCGAUUUGCUUUUUCUUUUUUUUAAUAAAAUUGCUUAGAGUUCUUGGUUAGCUCUACAAAGUUGCAUAUAAGUUAAGAGGAGUGGUGGAAAACAAUUUCUUUGAUGUCAUUCAAAUUCGGGUUAUAGCGAGAUAUUAUUUGGAGGCUUCGCGGAAAGAUAUUAUAGCUUUGGCGUCCAGAUCUAGGUACUAGCAGUCAACGUUGACGUGAUUCCUAUCUUUCAGUACUGGUUUGGAGCAGGGUGAGCUUACUUUCGUCCGAGGCUGAUCCUCUUUUAUCUACUCUAGUUAAUUUUUUGCACUCGAGACUGCUUGUGUAUAUUGUGUACAUUUUAGAUUUUUGUCCAGUACUUUGGGUACCUGUUAGUAGUGGCUCUAGUACUGACCUUAUCAGGUCUUGGGAGAGAUUCAUUUGUAUAGUUGGUCCUUUUUCCUCCCCUCGUUUUGAUAUAAUAUAUAUGCUCCCUUCUUAGUUUUCACUUA